GACGGGGCCCGCACAAGCGGUGAGUAUGUGGUUUAAUUCGAUGCAACGCGAGAACCUUACCUACCCUUGACAUGUCCGGAACUUGCCAGAGAUGGCUUGGUGCCCGAAAGGGAAUCGGAACACAGGUGCUGCAUGGCUGUCGUCAGCUCGUGUCGUGAGAUGUUGGGUUAAGUCCCGCAACGAGCGCAACCCUUGUCUUUAGUUGCCAUCAUUCAGUUGGGCACUCUAAAGAGACUGCCGGUGUCAAACCGGAGGAAGGUGGGGAUGACGUCAAGUCCUCAUGGCCUUUAUGACCAGGGCUACACACGUACUACAAUGGCCGGUACAAAGGGCAGCCACUUAGCGAUAAGGAGCCAAUCCCGUAAAGCCGGUCUCAGUCCGGAUUGGAGUCUGCAACUCGACUCCAUGAAGUUGGAAUCGCUAGUAAUCGCAGAUCAGCACGCUGCGGUGAAUACGUUCCCGGGCCUU
rnacentral:rRNA from 1 species